GGGCCUAUAGCUCAACUGGCAGAGCAACGGACUUUUAAUCCGUGGGUUCCGGGUUCGAGUCCCGGUGGGCCUA
rnacentral:tRNA from 1 species